rnacentral:rRNA from 1 species
UACGAAGGGGGCGAGCGUUGUCCGGAUUUACUGGGCGUAAAGAGCGCGCAGGCGGUCGUUCAAGUCGCGUGUGAAAGCCCCCGGCUCAACUGGGGAGGGUCACGCGAUACUGAUCGACUCGAAGGCAGGAGAGGGUAGUGGAAUUCCCGGUGUAGUGGUGAAAUGCGUAGAUAUCGGGAGGAACACCAGUGGCGAAGGCGACUACCUGGCCUGUUCUUGACGCUGAGGCGCGAAAGCUAGGGGAGCAAACGGG